GAUGAACGCUGGCGGCGUGCCUAAUACAUGCAAGUCGAACGCUUCACAUAUGUGAAGAGUGGCGAACGGGUGAGUAAUACAUAAGUAACCUGGCCUUUACAGGGGGAUAACUGUUGGAAACGAUAGCUAAGACCGCAUAGGUGUGAUAACCGCAUGGGGAUGACAUGAAAUAUGCUACGGCAUAGGUAGAGGAUGGACUUAUGGCGCAUUAGCUAGUUGGAGGGGUAACGGCCCACCAAGGCGACGAUGCGUAGCCGACCUGAGAGGGUGACCGGCCACACUGGGACUGAGACACGGCCCAGACUCCUACGGGAGGCAGCAGUAGGGAAUUUUCGGCAAUGGGGGAAACCCUGACCGAGCAACGCCGCGUGAAGGAAGAAGUAAUUCGUUAUGUAAACUUCUGUCAUAGAGGAAGAACGGUGCGUGUAGGGAAUGACAUGCAAGUGACGGUACUCUAUA
rnacentral:rRNA from 1 species